rnacentral:rRNA from 1 species
GACGAACGCUGGCGGCGUGCUUAACACAUGCAAGUCGAACGGAAAGGCCCUGCUUUUGUGGGGUGCUCGAGUGGCGAACGGGUGAGUAACACGUGAGUAACCUGCCCUUGACUUUGGGAUAACUUCAGGAAACUGGGGCUAAUACCGGAUAGGAGCUCCUGCUGCAUGGUGGGGGUUGGAAAGUUUCGGCGGUUGGGGAUGGACUCGCGGCUUAUCAUCUUGUUGGUGGGGUAGUGGCUUACCAAGGCUUUGACGGGUAGCCGGCCUGAGAGGGUGACCGGCCACAUUGGGACUGAGAUACGGCUCAGACUCCUACGGGAGGCAGCAGUGGGGAAUAUUGCACAAUGGGCGGAAGCCUGAUGCAGCAACGCCGCGUGCGGGAUGACGGCCUUCGGGUUGUAAACCGCUUUCGCCUGUGACGAAGCGUGAGUGACGGUAAUGGGUAAAGAAGCACCGGCUAACUACGUG